rnacentral:rRNA from 1 species
AUUGAACGCUGGCGGCAUGCCUUACAUAUGCAAGUCGAACGGCAGCACGGGAGCAAUCCUGGUGGCGAGUGGCGAACGGGUGAGUAAUAUAUCGGAACGUGCCCAGUCGUGGGGGAUAACGCAGCGAAAGCUGUGCUAAUACCGCAUACGAUCUACGGAUGAAAGCGGGGGAUCGCAAGACCUCGCGCGAUUGGAGCGGCCGAUAUCAGAUUAGUUAGUUGGUGAGGUAAAGGCUCACCAAGGCGACGAUCUGUAGCUGGUCUGAGAGGACGACCAGCCACACUGGAACUGAGACACGGUCCAGACUCCUACGGGAGGCAGCAGUGGGGAAUUUUGGACAAUGGGCGCAAGCCUGAUCCAGCAAUGCCGCGUGCAGGAUGAAGGCCUUCGGGUUGUAAACUGCUUUUGUACGGAACGAAACGGCGAGCUCUAAUACAGUUUGCUAAUGACGGUACCGUAAGAAUAAGCACCGGCUAACUACGUGCCAGCAGCCGCGGUAACAC